rnacentral:lncRNA from 1 species
AAUGAUUGUUGCGUGUUUCUUGGGAGGGUUAGUUGUUUCUUUCUUUGAUAGAUAGUGGAAAGGUUGGCUGUUUCUUGUGAUGCUCCCGUUUUGUACAAUUUUCUGGUAACAAUGAUACACAAUAUAAUUUCCUUUGGAUGCAAUAACCUUUCCUUCCUUUGGAUUUUGUAUUUCAGCAACUUUCACAUUUUAAUCUAACAUAGUGGAAAGGUUAGCUGUUUCUUGUGAUGCUCCUGUUUUGUACAAUUUUCUGGUAACAAUGAUACACAAUAUAAUUUCCUUUGGAUGCAAUAACCUUUCCUUCCUUUGGAUUUUGUAUUCCAGCAACUUUCACAUUUUAAUCUAACAGACAGUUGUUUCAUAAACGUAUUGAAUAUUAUUGCCUAGACAUACAGAUACUAAGCUCAUAGUGCAAGUGCGGAAUUGAAUGAUAAGUUUAUUUGAAUGUUGAUUCAUUUAUCUGAUAACUGGCUUAUUUGUAUUAACAACCUCUUGUAUCUGGAGCUGCUCUAGGACUAGAAGGGCAAGUACCAUUUGUUGACAACAUUCAUCAUACCCAGAGCUCUUUUGUUUCCC